rnacentral:rRNA from 1 species
AUUGAACGCUGGCGGCAGGCUUAACACAUGCAAGUCGAGCGGGGGAAGGUAGCUUGCUACCGGACCUAGCGGCGGACGGGUGAGUAAUGCUUAGGAAUCUGCCUAUUAGUGGGGGACAACAUCUCGAAAGGGAUGCUAAUACCGCAUACGUCCUACGGGAGAAAGCAGGGGAUCUUCGGACCUUGCGCUAAUAGAUGAGCCUAAGUCGGAUUAGCUAGUUGGUGGGGUAAAGGCCUACCAAGGCGACGAUCUGUAGCGGGUCUGAGAGGAUGAUCCGCCACACUGGGACUGGGACACGGCCCAAGCUCCUAAGGGAGGCAGCAGUGGGGAAUAUUGGGCAAUGGGGGGAACCCUGAUCCAGCCAUGCCGCGUGUGUGAAGAAGGCCUUAUGGUUGUAAAGCACUUUAAGCGAGGAGGAGGCUACUCUAGUUAAUACCUAGGGAUAGUGGACGUUACUCGCAGAAUAAGCACCGGCUAACUCUGUGCCAGCCGCCGCCGUAA